AGCGUACACGGUGGAUGCCCUGGCAGUCAGAGGCGAUGAAGGACGUGCUAAUCUGCGAUAAGCGUCGGUAAGGUGAUAUGAACCGUUAUAACCGGCGAUUUCCGAAUGGGGAAACCCAGUGUGUUUCGACACACUAUCAUUAACUGAAUCCAUAGGUUAAUGAGGCGAACCGGGGGAACUGAAACAUCUAAGUACCCCGAGGAAAAGAAAUCAACCGAGAUUCCCCCAGUAGCGGCGAGCGAACGGGGAGCAGCCCAGAGCCUGAAUCAGUGUGUGUGUUAGUGGAAGCGUCUGGAAAGGCGCGCGAUACAGGGUGACAGCCCCGUACACAAAAAUGCACAUAUUGUGAGCUCGAUGAGUAGGGCGGGACACGUGGUAUCCUGUCUGAAUAUGGGGGGACCAUCCUCCAAGGCUAAAUACUCCUGACUGACCGAUAGUGAACCAGUACCGUGAGGGAAAGGCGAAAAGAACCCCGGCGAGGGGAGUGAAAAAGAACCUGAAACCGUGUACGUACAAGCAGUGGGAGCCUCUUUUAUGGGGUGACUGCGUACCUUUUGUAUAAUGGGUCAGCGACUUAUAUUCUGUAGCAAGGUUAACCGAAUAGGGGAGCCGAAGGGAAACCGAGUCUUAACUGGGCGUUAAGUUGCAGGGUAUAGACCCGAAACCCGGUGAUCUAGCCAUGGGCAGGUUGAAGGUUGGGUAACACUAACUGGAGGACCGAACCGACUAAUGUUGAAAAAUUAGCGGAUGACUUGUGGCUGGGGGUGAAAGGCCAAUCAAACCGGGAGAUAGCUGGUUCUCCCCGAAAGCUAUUUAGGUAGCGCCUCGUGAAUUCAUCUCCGGGGGUAGAGCACUGUUUCGGCAAGGGGGUCAUCCCGACUUACCAACCCGAUGCAAACUGCGAAUACCGGAGAAUGUUAUCACGGGAGACACACGGCGGGUGCUAACGUCCGUCGUGAAGAGGGAAACAACCCAGACCGCCAGCUAAGGUCCCAAAGUCAUGGUUAAGUGGGAAACGAUGUGGGAAGGCCCAGACAGCCAGGAUGUUGGCUUAGAAGCAGCCAUCAUUUAAAGAAAGCGUAAUAGCUCACUGGUCGAGUCGGCCUGCGCGGAAGAUGUAACGGGGCUAAACCAUGCACCGAAGCUGCGGCAGCGACACUAUGUGUUGUUGGGUAGGGGAGCGUUCUGUAAGCCUGYGAAGGUGUGCUGUGAGGCAUGCUGGAGGUAUCAGAAGUGCGAAUGCUGACAUAAGUAACGAUAAAGCGGGUGAAAAGCCCGCUCGCCGGAAGACCAAGGGUUCCUGUCCAACGUUAAUCGGGGCAGGGUGAGUCGACCCCUAAGGCGAGGCCGAAAGGCGUAGUCGAUGGGAAACAGGUUAAUAUUCCUGUACUUGGUGUUACUGCGAAGGGGGGACGGAGAAGGCUAUGUUGGCCGGGCGACGGUUGUCCCGGUUUAAGCGUGUAGGCUGGUUUUCCAGGCAAAUCCGGAAAAUCAAGGCUGAGGCGUGAUGACGAGGCACUACGGUGCUGAAGCAACAAAUGCCCUGCUUCCAGGAAAAGCCUCUAAGCAUCAGGUAACAUYAAAUCGUACCCCAAACCGACACAGGUGGUCAGGUAGAGAAUACCAAGGCGCUUGAGAGAACUCGGGUGAAGGAACUAGGCAAAAUGGUGCCGUAACUUCGGGAGAAGGCACGCUGAUAUGUAGGUGAAGUCCCUCGCGGAUGGAGCUGAAAUCAGUCGAAGAUACCAGCUGGCUGCAACUGUUUAUUAAAAACACAGCACUGUGCAAACACGAAAGUGGACGUAUACGGUGUGACGCCUGCCCGGUGCCGGAAGGUUAAUUGAUGGGGUYAGCGCAAGCGAAGCUCUUGAUCGAAGCCCCGGUAAACGGCGGCCGUAACUAUAACGGUCCUAAGGUAGCGAAAUUCCUUGUCGGGUAAGUUCCGACCUGCACGAAUGGCGUAAUGAUGGCCAGGCUGUCUCCACCCGAGACUCAGUGAAAUUGAACUCGCUGUGAAGAUGCAGUGUACCCGCGGCAAGACGGAAAGACCCCGUGAACCUUUACUAUAGCUUGACACUGAACAUUGAGCCUUGAUGUGUAGGAUAGGUGGGAGGCUUWGAAGUGUGGACGCCAGUCUGCAUGGAGCCGACCUUGAAAUACCACCCUUUAAUGUUUGAUGUUCUAACGUGGACCCGUGAUCCGGGUUGCGGACAGUGUCUGGUGGGUAGUUUGACUGGGGCGGUCUCCUCCUAAAGAGUAACGGAGGAGCACGAAGGUUGGCUAAUCCUGGUCGGACAUCAGGAGGUUAGUGCAAUGGCAUAAGCCAGCUUGACUGCGAGCGUGACGGCGCGAGCAGGUGCGAAAGCAGGUCAUAGUGAUCCGGUGGUUCUGAAUGGAAGGGCCAUCGCUCAACGGAUAAAAGGUACUCCGGGGAUAACAGGCUGAUACCGCCCAAGAGUUCAUAUCGACGGCGGUGUUUGGCACCUCGAUGUCGGCUCAUCACAUCCUGGGGCUGAAGUAGGUCCCAAGGGUAUGGCUGUUCGCCAUUUAAAGUGGUACGCGAGCUGGGUUUAGAACGUCGUGAGACAGUUCGGUCCCUAUCUGCCGUGGGCGCUGGAGAACUGAGGGGGGCUGCUCCUAGUACGAGAGGACCGGAGUGGACGCAUCACUGGUGUUCGGGUUGUCAUGCCAAUGGCACUGCCCGGUAGCUAAAUGCGGAAGAGAUAAGUGCUGAAAGCAUCUAAGCACGAAACUUGCCCCGAGAUGAGUUCU
rnacentral:rRNA from 1 species